AAUCAACGCUGGCGGCGUGCCUCAGACAUGCAAGUCGAACGAUUAAAGCUCCCUUCGGGGAGUGCAUAAAGUGGCGCACGGGUGAGUAACACGUAAGUAAUCUACCCUCGAGUGGGGAAUAACAACCGGAAACGGUUGCUAAUACCGCAUAAUGCAGCGGCACCGCAAGGUGACAGUUGUUAAAGGAGUAAUUCGCUUGAGGAGGAGCUUGCGGCAGAUUAGCUUGNGGUAAGGUAACGGCUUACCAAGGCUACGAUCUGUAUCCGGUCUAAGAGGACGGUCGGACACACUGACACUGAAUAACGGGUCAGACUCCUACGGGAGGCAGCAGUCGGGAAUUUUGGCAAUGGGCGAAAGCCUGACCAGCAACGCCGCGUGAAGGAUGAAGU
rnacentral:rRNA from 1 species